GUCCGCACUGUAAACGAUGAUUACUCGCUUCUGGGAGGUAACUUUCAGUGGCUUAGCGAAAGCGAUAAGUAAUCCACCUGGGGAGUACGCCGGCAACGGUGAAACUCAAAGGAAUUGACGGGGCCCGCACAAGCGGAGGAGCAUGUGGUUUAAUUCGAUGAUACGCGAGGAACCUUACCAGGGCUUGAAAGUUAGUGACCGACUCUGAAAGGAGUCUUUUCCGCAAGGACACGAAACUAGGUGCUGCAUGGCUGUCGU
rnacentral:rRNA from 1 species